rnacentral:rRNA from 1 species
GACGAACGCUGGCGGCGUGCUUAACACAUGCAAGUGGAGCGACGAACCGGGGCUUGCCCCGGGGCAAAGCCGCGAACGGGUGAGUAACACGUGGGUAACCCACCUCGAUGACCGGGACAACCCGAGGAAACUCGGGCCAAUACCGGAUGUGCUCUUCUCUGGCCAGGGAGUCGAGGAACGGUAGCUUCGCCCUCCGCAUUGAGACGGGCCCGCCGCCCAUUAGCCUGGUGGUGGGGUAACGGCCUACCAAGGCUGCGAUGGGUAGCUGGUCUGAGAGGACGAUCAGCCACACUGGGACUGAGACACGGCCCAGACUACUACGGGAGGCAGCAGUGGGGAAUCUUGCACAAUGCGCGAAAGCGUGAUGCAGCAACGCCGCGUGGGGGAAGAAGGCCUUCGGGUUGUAAACCCCUUUCAGUUGGGACGAAGCUUCGCCGGUUAAUAGCCGGCUGGAGUGACGGUACCUUCAGAAGAAGCCCCGGCUAACUACGUGCCAGCCGCCGCGGUAAAAC